rnacentral:rRNA from 1 species
GGCUAACUACGUGCCAGCAGCCGCGGUAAUACGUAGGGUGCAAGCGUUAUCCGGAAUUAUUGGGCGUAAAGGGCUCGUAGGCGGUUCGUCGCGUCCGGUGUGAAAGUCCAUCGCUUAACGGUGGAUCCGCGCCGGGUACGGGCGGGCUUGAGUGCGGUAGGGGAGACUGGAAUUCCCGGUGUAACGGUGGAAUGUGUAGAUAUCGGGAAGAACACCAAUGGCGAAGGCAGGUCUCUGGGCCGUCACUGACGCUGAGGAGCGAAAGCGUGGGGAGCGAACAGGAUUAGAUACCCUGGUAGUCCACGCCGUAAACGGUGGAUGCUGGAUGUGGGGACCAUUCCACGGUCUCCGUGUCGGAGCCAACGCGUUAAGCAUCCCGCCUGGGGAGUACGGCCGCAAGGCUAAAACUCAAAGAAAUUGACGGGGGCCCGCACAAGCGGCGGAGCAUGCGGAUUAAUUCGAUGCAACGCGAAGAACCUUACCAAGGCUUGACAUGCACCCGACACUGCAGAGAUGUGGUGGCAUUUGGUUGGGGGUGUGCAGGUGGUGCAUGGUUGUCGUCAGCUCGUGUCGUGAGAUGUUGGGUUAAGUCCCGCAACGAGCGCAACCCUUGCCCUAUGUUGCCAGCACGUUGUGGUGGGGACUCGUGGGGGACUGCCGGGGUUAACUCGGAGGAAGGUGGGGAUGACGUCAAAUCAUCAUGCCCCUUAUGUCUUGGGCUUCACGCAUGCUACAAUGGUUGGUACAGAGUGUUGCGAUAUCGUAAGGUGGAGCGAAUCACUUAAAGCCAGUCUCAGUUCGGAUUGGGGUCUGCAACUCGACCCCAUGAAGGUGGAGUCGCUAGUAAUCGCAGAUCAGCAACGCUGCGGUGAAUACGUUCUCGGGCCUUGUACACACCGCCCGUCACGUCACGAAAGUUGGUAACACCCGAAGCUCAUGGCCUAACCGUUUUGGGGGGAGUGGUCGAAGGUGGGAUUGGCGAUUGGGACGAAGUCGUAACAAGGUAGCCGUACCGGAAGGUGCGGCUG